rnacentral:rRNA from 1 species
GCGGGCAAUAUAAUGCAAGCUGAGCGAAUGGAUUUAGAGAUUGCUCUUUGUGAAGUUUGCGGCGGACGGGUAGUACACGUUGGGAUACCUUGCCCAUUAGACUGGGAUACUCCGGGAAACCGGGGCUAUACCGGAUACAUUUUGAACCGCAUGGUUCGAAAUUGAAAGGCGGCUUCGGCUGUCACUUAUGGAUGGACCCGCGUCGCAUUAGCUAGUUGGUGAGGUAACGGCUCACCAAGGCAACGAUGCGUAGCCGACCUGAGAGGGUGAUCGGCCACACUGGGACUGAGACACGGCCCAGACUCCUACGGGAGGCAGCAGUAGGGAAUCUUCCGCAAUGGACGAAAGUCUCGACGGAGCAACGCCCCCUGAGUGAUGAAGGCUUUCGGGUCGUAAAACUCUGUUGUUAGGGAAGAACAAGUGCUAGUUGAAUAAGCUGGCACCUUGACGGUACCUAACCAGAAAGCCACGGCUAACUACGUGCCAGCAGCCGCGGUAAUACGUAGGUGGCAAGCGUUAUUCCGGAAUUAUUGGGCGUAAAGCGCGCGCAGGUGGUUUCUUAAGUCUGAUGUGAAAGCCCACGGCUCAACCGUGGAGGGUCAUUGGAAACUGGGAGACUUGAGUGCAGAAGAGGAAAGUGGAAUUCCAUGUGUAGCGGUGAAAUGCGUAGAGAUAUGGAGGAACACCAGUGGCGAAGGCGACUUUCUGGUCUGUAACUGACACUGAGGCGCGAAAGCGUGGGGAGCAAACAGGAUUAGAUACCCUGGUAGUCCACGCCGUAAACGAUGAGUGCUAAGUGUUAGAGGGUUUCCGCCCUUUAGUGCUGAAGUUAACGCAUUAAGCACUCCGCCUGGGGAGUACGGCCGCAAGGCUGAAACUCAAAGGAAUUGACGGGGGCCCGCACAAACGGUGGAGCAUGUGGUUUAAUUUGAAGCAACGCGAAGAACCUUACCAGGUCUUGACAUCCUUUGACAACCCUAGAGAUAGGGCUUUUCCUUCGGGAGCAGAGUGACAGGUGGUGCAUGGUUGUCGUCAGCUCGUGUCGUGAGAUGUUGGGUUAAGUCCCGCAACGAGCGCAACCCUUGAUCUUAGUUGCCAUCAUUUAGUUGGGCACUCUAAGGUGACUGCCGGUGACAAACCGGAGGAAAGGUGGGGAUGACGUCAAAUCAUCAUGCCCCUUAUGACCUGGGCUACACACGUGCUACAAUGGACGGUACAAAAAAGCUGCAAGACCGCGAGGUGGAGCUAAUCUCAUAAAACCGUUCUCAGUUCGGAUUGUAGGCUGCAACUCGCCUACAUGAAAGCUGGAAUCGCUUGUAAUCGCGGAUCAGCAUGCCGCGGUAAUACGUUCCCGGGCCUUGUUCACACCGCCCGUCACACCCCGAAAAGUUUGAACCCCCAAAGUCGGUGGGGUAAACCUUUUUGAAGCCACGCCGCCUAAAGGUGGGCACAGUAGGUUGGGGUAAAGUAGUACACA